GGAAAGCGUUGCCAGGGGAUUAGUACCAGGUUUUCCUCGGGGGAAAGCGUUGCCAGGGGAUUAGUACCAGGUUUUCCUCGGGGGAAAGUGUUUCCAGGGGAUUAGUACCAGGUUUUCCUCGUGGGAAGUGUUUCCAGGGGAUUAGUACCAGGUUUUCCUCGUGGGAAGUGUUUCCAGGGGAUUAGUACCAGGUUUUCCUCGUGGGAAGUGUUUCCAGGGGAUUAGUACCAGGUUUUCCUCGGGGGAAAGCGUUGCCAGGGGAUUAGUACCAGGUUUUCCUCGGGGGAAAGCGUUGCCAGGGAAUUAGUACCAGGUUUUCCUCGGGGGAAAGUGUUUCCAGGGGAUUAGUACCAGGUUUUCCUCGUGGGAAGUGUUUCCAGGGGAUUAGUACCAGGUUUUCCUCGUGGGAAGUGUUNNNNNNNNNNUGCAGAAGCCAUGAAGUCACUUUAUACGGUACUGCCUGACAGGGAUAGGGUUACUGGGGUAACCCCAACCCUAAUCUCCUCUGUUAGGUAAAGUUUACUCUCUCCCGCUACUCACGUUUUGAAGUGCUGCGGCUCCUAAAAGUGAUUCAACGCAGCAGCAGCCAUCACACACUCCCUCUAGCCCUUAAUGCCCCAGGUCUGUUGACUGAGAACACACUCCCUCUAGCCCUUAAUGCCCGAGGUCUGUUGACUGAGAACACACUCCCUAUAGCUCUUAAUGCCCCAGGUCUGUUGACUGAGAACGCACUCCCUCUAGCUCUUAAUCCCCCAGGUCUGUUGACUGAGAACACACUCCCUCUAGCCCUUAAUGCCCCAGGUCUGUUGACUGAGAACACACUCCCUUAAUCCCCCAGGUCUGUUGACUGAGAACACACUCCCUCUAGCCCUUAAUGCCCCAGGUCUGUUGACUGAGAACACACUCCCUCUAGCCCUUAAUGCCCGA
rnacentral:lncRNA from 13 species